GUGGGUGCAGCUCCCAGGAGACCCCAGAGGGCAGCCCCACCAUUUCUUCCCUAGGGGUGGGAGGAGAUUAGCAGCACCUCCUAUUUGCCUUUGGAUACAAUGGAGUUGCCUGGAUGGUAUUGGGAGGCAAUGCUUCCACUCUGUUUCUUGGUGGUUGCAGGCUGCUUGAUCUCCAGCCUCCAACAACCUUUAUCUCUCACAUCACUGUUCUCUUCAGUCUACCUCAGCUUCUCCAAGAACUUGAGCAUAAUCUGCCAUUGUCUCCACAAACUCACCACAGUGGUGCCCCUCUCCAUGGCUGAAUGUUGCCCCCAACUGUUAGUCUCCCAGCAUUCCAGUUCCCUUAGAAACAGUUGCCAAGACUGCACAAAACCCUCCGCACUCACAAUACUUCUUAUGACCUGGUCCCCCCCCAUCCAACUGGCCUUAUGGAUCAUAUUAAAACAACAGCAAGAACAUUAAGCAACCUAACUGAAGCACGUGAAUAGAUGCAUCUUCUGCCACAAAAGCGAAGGAGAAAAUGUGUCUCAGGAGCAUCCGUGUGUCCUCACAGGUGUUCUAGAAGGAACGUUCUGGAAUCAACAGAGCAACUGAAAUACAACUGUUGAGAUUUUUUCCAGUAACUUUUCUGCUGCCCAAACUCUGGAGGCAGCCUUGAAGUUUUUAAUGUUUGAUUUUUUGUGUGUGUUUUUAUUAUUUUGUUGGGAGCUGCCAAGUCAGAUGGGUGGCAUAUAAACAAUAAAAAUA